rnacentral:lncRNA from 1 species
ACAACAAUUACUAAGUUCACACAAUUCCUACCAAAACCAACCUUAUGUCUCUAAAACAAGCUUCAAUCUAGUUCUCAAAUCCUAAUCUCCAAUCUUCAAAUAAAACCCUAUUUUAUCCUAGGCGGUCAUUUUAGUGGCUAGAGGUCUAAUUUUGAUUCUAUCUUACAAAUAGUAUUGUAAUACGUGAAGUCUUGCUUGACAAUGCUUUGGACACAUCACUGUAGAAGGUAGAAUGGAAAUUGCAACAAAAAAAUCCUAAUUCUAAUAGAACACUAACUAAACUCUAAUUAGACCAUAACAAUGUUAAGCAAUCUUUUAUCAAAUUCAAAGAAAUCUCAAAGGAAUUACAAAGAAACUAUAAGAAAUCUUAAAAAUUAUUAGAAUGAUCACAAAUAUUUUUCAAAUACAUCUCAAUUCAAUCUUAAUUUAAUCUUGGUUAAAAUCCUAUUGGACUUCAUUCAAACUUUAGGCCAAAAAUUAACUAAAUCUUAAAUCCUAAACAAAUCAUAAUAAAAUCCUAAAUCCUAAAUCAAAUCCUAAAUCCUAAACCAAACCCUAACCAAAUCCUAAUCCAAAUCAAAUCCUAACCAAAUCUUAAAUCCUAAACAAAACCCUAACCAAAUCCUAAUCCAAAUCAAAUCCUAACCAAAUCUUAAAUCCUAAACCAAACCCUAACCAAAUCCUAAACCCUAAAUCAAACCCUAGUAAUUCCUAUAAUAGAUUUAAAUCUCAAUAAUAAAUAAAUUAACUAUUGAUCUUAACUCAAAAUUUGCAUACUUCUUAACAAUUAAGUUGAUAACAAGCACAAAAAAAUUGAAAAUGAUUGAAA